UCCUUCGGGAUGAGUACAGCGGCGAACGAGUGAGUAACACGUGAGAAUCUACCCUUUAGUGAAGAAUACCCUCGAGAAUCGAGGUUAAUACUGCAUACGUCCUGUGUAAGAAAUUAUGCUGGAGAAAGAUGGCUUUAUGCUGUCGCUAAAGGAGGAGCUUGCGUCCUAUCAGCUAGUUGGUGAGGUAAUGGCUUACCAAGGCGAUGACGGGUAGCUGGUCUGAGAGGAUGAUCAGCCACGCUGGAACUGCGACACGGUCCAGACUCCUACGGGAGGCAGCAGUGAGGAAUCUUGCACAAUGGACGAAAGUCUGAUGCAGCGACGCCGCGUGAAGGAUGAAGGUCUUCGGAUUGUAAACUUCUGUUAAGCGGGACGAAAUACCCAUAACUAAUACGUAUGGGGGAUGACGGUACCGCUAGAGAAAGCACCGGCUAACUUCGUGCCAGCAGCCGCGGUAAUACGAGGGGUGCAAGCGUUAUCCGGAUUUAUUGGGCGUAAAGGGCGCGUAGGUUGCUUGUUAAGUCCGUUGUUAAAUCUCCCGGCCUAACCGGGAAUCUGCGAUGGAUACUGAUGAGCUAGAGGGUGGAAGAGAGAGGUGGAAUUCUCGGAGUAGCGGUAAAAUGCGUAGAUCUCGAGAGGAACACCGAUGGCGAAGGCAGCCUCUUGGUCCAUACCUGACACUGAUGCGCGAAAGCGUGGGGAGCAAACAGGAUUAGAUACCCUGGUAGUCCACGCCGUAAACGAUGAUCACUGGACGUCGGUUUUGUUUAUCAGAAUCGGUGUCGAAGCUAACGCGUUAAGUGAU
rnacentral:rRNA from 1 species